AUCGCUUCUCGGCCUUUUGGCUAAGAUCAAGUGUAGAGUCAUUUUGUUACUUAUUGUUAAAAUUAUCACUCAGUCUAUCUUUU
rnacentral:snRNA from 1 species